rnacentral:RNase_P_RNA from 1 species
CCCGCGGAGGAAAGUCCGGACUCCACAGGGUAGCGCGCUGGGUAACGCCCAGGCGGGGUGACCCGACGGAAAGUGCAACAGAGAGCAGACCGCCAGCGGCCGGCCGCUUUCGGCCGGUGCGGGCAAGGGUGAAACGGUGGGGUAAGAGCCCACCAGCGUCCCGGGUGACCGGGGCGGCUCGGCAAACCCCGCGCGGAGCAAGGCCAAAUAGGGGGGCGAUGGCGUGACCCGCGCCGCCCCCGGGUAGGCCGCUCGAGGCGGCGGGCAACCGCCGUCCCAGAGGAAUGAUCCUCCUCCCCCCAGGGGAGAACAGAAUCCGGCUUACGUCCGGCUCCCCCG